UACGUAGGUGGCAAGCGUUGUUCGGAUUUACUGGGCGUAAAGGGCGCGUAGGCGGCAAUUCAAGUCAUCUGUGAAAUCUCCGGGCUUAACUCGGAACGGUCAGAUGAUACUGCUUUGCUAGAGUGCGGAAGGGGCAAUCGGAAUUCUUGGUGUAGCGGUGAAAUGCGUAGAUAUCAAGAGGAACACCUGAGGUGAAGACGGGUUGCUGGGCCGACACUGACGCUGAUGCGCGAAAGCCAGGGGAGCAAACGGG
rnacentral:rRNA from 1 species